rnacentral:rRNA from 1 species
UGGAUCGAUGGCUCAGGAUGAACGCUAGCUACAGGCUUAACACAUGCAAGUCGAGGGGAAACGACAUCGAAAGCUUGCUUUUGAUGGGCGUCGACCGGCGCACGGGUGAGUAACGCGUAUCCAACCUGCCCAUCACUUGGGAAUAACCUUGCGAAAGUAAGACUAAUGCCCAAUGAUAUCCCACGAAGGCAUCCGAAUGGGAUUAAAGAUUUAUCGGUGAUGGAUGGGGAUGCGU